GUCAGCAACACUGUUCACACAGACAAAGGAGCGUAGCAACAGGUCAGUGUUAGCGUUCGCAGAUUAGCACAUAAACCGGUUUAAUGUUGGAGCUCCUGUUUUUCUAUGACUCCACAUAUGAUUAACGUCAUCAGUAAAACCUCUGUUAAGUCAUAAUAGGAUGAUAUCAGGUGAACAUGCGUUGAUGUGAUGCUGUGGACGGUAUGCACGUGGACAUUCAAGGGGAUACUGUGCACAUGCAGAUUCCUGUGGGUGUGCCCAUAUAAUGCAAUACAGUUUUUGCCACGGGAACGGCGACUUAGAGAAGACACACGACACAAGCAGAAACACCUUGCAGUUUCUGAAAGUAAAGUGGUUGCAGCCAUACCAGGCAGCCCUGACCAAACUGUGGACCUUCUCAAAAGAUUGACCAAAACCGAGAAGAGAUACUGUCCCUAAAG